AGUAACGCGUGGAUAACCUGCCUCACACUGGGGGAUAACAGUUAGAAAUGACUGCUGAUACCGCAUAAGCGCACAGUACCGCAUGGUACAGUGUGAAAAACUCCGGUGGUGUGAGAUGGAUCCGCGUCUGAUUAGCCAGUUGGCGGGGUAACGGCCCACCAAAGCGACGAUCAGUAGCCGACCUGAGAGGGUGACCGGCCACAUUGGGACUGAGACACGGCCCAA
rnacentral:rRNA from 1 species